rnacentral:rRNA from 1 species
CGGCAAUGGAGGAAACUCUGACCGAGCAACGCCGCGUGAACGAUGAAGUAUUUCGGUAUGUAAAGUUCUUUUAUUAGGGAAGAAUAAAUGAUGGAAAAAUCAUUCUGACGGUACCUAAUGAAUAAGCCCCGGCUAACUAUGUGCCAGCAGCCGCGGUAAUACAUAGGGGGCAAGCGUUAUCCGGAAUUAUUGGGCGUAAAGGGUGCGUAGGCGGUUAAAUAAGUUUAUGGUCUAAGUGCAAUGCUCAACAUUGUGAUGCUAUAAAAACUGUUUAGCUAGAGUAAGAUAGAGGCAAGUGGAAUUCCAUGUGUAGUGGUAAAAUGCGUAAAUAUAUGGAGGAACACCAGUAGCGAAGGCGGCUUGCUGGGUCUUUACUGACGCUGAGGCACGAAAGCGUGGGGAGCAAACAGGAUUAGAUACCCUGGUAGUCCACGCCGUAAACGAUGAGUACUAAACGUUGGGUAAAACCAGUGUUGAAGUUAACACAUUAAGUACUCCGCCUGAGUAGUACGUACGCAAGUAUGAAACUUAAAGGAAUUGACGGGACUCCGCACAAGCGGUGGAUCAUGUUGUUUAAUUCGAAGGUACCCGAAAAACCUCACCAGGUCUUGACAUGCUUCUGCAAAGCUGUAGAAACACAGUGGAGGUUAUCAGUUGCACAGGUGGUGCAUGGUUGUCGUCAGCUCGUGUCGUGAGAUGUUGGGUUAAGUCCCGCAACGAGCGCAACCCUUAUUGUUAGUUACCAGCACGUAAUGGUGGGGACUUUAGCAAGACUGCCCGUGAUAAAUUGGAGGAAGGUGGGGACGACGUCAAAUCAUCAUGCCCCUUAUGACCUGGGCUACAAACGUGAUACAAUGGCUGUUACAAAGGGUAGCUGAA